rnacentral:misc_RNA from 1 species
AAAGGUAACAUUCUUUCCAUAAACCUGCUUGGCCCAUGGCCCCAAGCUCAACUGGCUUUCCUAACUGAAGCCCAUUGUUCUAAAUGCCUAGAAACGAGCUGGUUUUGAAACUCAUUAAAUUAAAGCCAUUUUUAAGAAAAGAGAAUGAACUGGGCCAGUUCAAUUUUAAAAAUUAAUGUUAUUGGGCUGGUACGAUUUUAGAAAUUAAAGGCAUCAGAGAAAGCAAAACUGAACUGGGUUGGCCAUAGGGAUGAGCAUUGAUAAGUUUGAUUCGGAAAGUUUCAAAGAAAUUAAUGUUAGUAACCGAAUCAAAAUUCAUUAGUCUGAUUAAUUAUUAGCUGAAGGUCAUAUAAAUUAUAAAAGAUAAGAAUGAGAAGAAUAUAUGAGUAACAAGACAAGAUCCAAAUGAUAAUUGAUGGAAAGGCAAUGGAAUUCACCGGGUGCAGUUGUGUUGUUGGUGGAAACUCACAGGUCACACUUGGCCAUUGAACUUGAGCAUAUGAUGUUGAUUUUGAGGUCACUACAACCAAUAUCAUGUCCCUUUCCUGGAGUCCCAUAUUUCGAUCUUUUAUUCAUUAGCUUCUUCAUCUCCAUCUCCAUGCAUCUUAUGGGACAUCAAUGUCCAACCCGGUCCUUCUCUGUCCAUUAGUU